rnacentral:rRNA from 1 species
AGAGUUUGAUCAUGGCUCAGAUUGAACGCUGGCGGCAUACUUUACACAUGCAAGUCGAACGGUAACAGGCCUUCGGGCGCUGACGAGUGGCGAACGGGUGAGUAAUGCAUCGGAACGUGCCCAGUCAUGGGGGAUAACUACGCGAAAGCGUAGCUAAUACCGCAUACGCCCUGAGGGGGAAAGUGGGGGAUCUUCGGACCUCACGUGAUUGGAGCGGCCGAUGUCAGAUUAGCUAGUUGGUGAGGUAAAGGCUCACCAAGGCGACGAUCUGUAGCGGGUCUGAGAGGAUGAUCCGCCACACUGGGACUGAGACACGGCCCAGACUCCUACGGGAGGCAGCAGUGGGGAAUUUUGGACAAUGGGCGCAAGCCUGAUCCAGCCAUGCCGCGUGAGUGAAGAAGGCCUUCGGGUUGUAAAGCUCUUUCGCAAGGGAAGAAAACGUGUGGGCUAAUAUCCUGCGCGGAUGACGGUACCUUGACAAGAAGCACCGGCUAACUACGUGCCAGCAGCCGCGGUAAUA